UGGUGGGUAGUUUGACUGGGGCGGUCUCCUCCUAAAGAGUAACGGAGGAGCACGAAGGUUGGCUAAUCCUGGUCGGACAUCAGGAGGUUAGUGCAAUGGCAUAAGCCAGCUUGACUGCGAGCGUGACGGCGCGAGCAGGUGCGAAAGCAGGUCAUAGUGAUCCGGUGGUUCUGAAUGGAAGGGCCAUCGCUCAACGGAUAAAAGGUACUCCGGGGAUAACAGGCUGAUACCGCCCAAGAGUUCAUAUCGACGGCGGUGUUUGGCACCUCGAUGUCGGCUCAUCACAUCCUGGGGCUGAAGUAGGUCCCAAGGGUAUGGCUGUUCGCCAUUUAAAGUGGUACGCGAGCUGGGUUUAGAACGUCGUGAGACAGUUCGGUCCCUAUCUGCCGUGGGCGCUGGAGAACUGAGGGGGGCUGCUCCUAGUACGAGAGGACCGGAGUGGACGCAUCACUGGUGUUCGGGUUGUCAUGCCAAUGGCACUGCCCGGUAGCUAAAUGCGGAAGAGAUAAGUGCUGAAAGCAUCUAAGCACGAAACUUGCCCCGAGAUGAGUUCUCCCUGAGACCUAGAGUCUCCUGAAGGAACGUUGAAGACGACGACGUUGAUAGGCCGGGUGUGUAAGCGCAGCGAUGCGUUGAGCUAACCGGUACUAAUGAACCGUGAGGCUUAACCUUACAAC
rnacentral:rRNA from 1 species